rnacentral:rRNA from 1 species
GACGAACGCUGGCGGCGUGCUUAACACAUGCAAGUCGAACGGAGUGGCGAACGGGUGAGUAACACGUGGGUGACCUGCCCUGCACUUCGGGAUAAGACUGGGAAACUGGGUCUAAUACCGGAUAGGUUGGGAUGGGCCUGCGGCCUAUCAGCUUGUUGGUGGGGUAAUGGCCUACCAAGGCGGCGAAGGGUAGCCGGACGGAGAGGGUGUACGGACACAUUGGGACUGAGACACCGGCCAGAAUCCUACGGGAGGCAGCAGUGGGGAAGAUUGCGCAAUGGGCGGAAGCCUGAUGCAGCGACGCCGCGUGGGGGAUGACGGCCUUCGGGUUGUAAACUCCUUUCACCAUCGACGCGGUAGAUGGAGAAGAAGCACCGGCUAACUACGUGCCAGCAGCCGCGGUAAUUC